UUUCACUUCUGAAUGGAGUUACAGUAUACUCCGCGCGAAGAAGAAAAAAACACUCAGCCUCGCGUUCUCAAUCUCACGUCUGCAUUCACAGCCGGUGCACAUAAUGCAGGUUUACUUUGGGGGAAAAGUGCUUUCCACUCCGACCCGGGGAAUGACCACCCAUUACAAUUUACAAUCCAAGGCACAACUAACAAAGACGGACCACUCUAAAUACCAUCGCAGGAAAACAGGUCAAAGAAGUCCCCUGGUAGACAUUGUCUAUACAUUUUUUAGACGGUGAUUCGCAAACACAAGGAAUAUGACAGAGAAAAGAGGCAGCACACUUUUCAAGUAACCUGGUUGCAGUGGGCUGCUGUCUUCACUCAGAAAGUUGGUGUUGUACCAAUUAUGUUUCAUCCUCAAAUAUAUUAAAGGAAAUAGGUGAAAUGCCACUCAUUU